CGUGUCUCUUCCUCCAAUCGCCCGACAACUGCGACGCUGCCCUCUCGAUCGCAGCCUCCGUCGGAACCACAGCCGUCGUUCUUCGUGCUGUGUCAAGCCGGGUGACUUCAAGGUUCAUGAGCAUAUGAAAAUUUCCUGUCCGUAGAUCAGACAUUUCUCUGGAGGACCAGAUCCUGGUCAAAAGAAUGACAAAAAAUGGCUGAUGCAAAUUGGUGAUCAAUUGGCACAAAAAAAUCGUGGCGGAUAACGUGCUGCAUCAAGGUUCCAUUACAGACUGCAUCAACUACUUCCAACUUGGGUCAGAAAGUAUGGUGAAAGAACAAAAGAGCUUAAUCAGAUGUCAGUCUCUCUCUAUUGGGAAAUGCAUAAAAGAACACCCUUUUGAUGGCUUGAUGAUGCUCUUUAUGAAUAAAGCUCCCAUUUGAAGUAAAGUGUUCUUAUGAUGGUUGUCUGAGCCCUUUCUUCUGGGAUGGCCCGAGGGUAACUUAAUGUAAACGCCAGGUUUGUGGUGGGGAUUCACAACAAGAAUCCCAGGUUUUUGUCCUUCCGUUCCAUCCCAGCUUUUGAUUGCUUAUUAAAUACUUGUAGGUUCUUCCUGUGAACUGGUAUAUCUAUGUUCUUGAUGUUAUCAGUAUGCCGGAAUUUAUAGGAAUUUUGUUUC